rnacentral:rRNA from 1 species
AGAGUUUGAUCCUGGCUCAGAUUGAACGCUGGCGGCAUGCCUAACACAUGCAAGUCGAACGGCAGCACAGUCCUGCACUUAAAUCGCUUUGGAGAGAGUGAUUUAAGUGCGGGAUGGGUGGCGAGUGGCGGACGGGUGAGUAAUGCGUAGGAAUCUGUCCUAGAGAGUGGGAUAACCCGAGGAAACUGGGGCUAAUACCA